rnacentral:rRNA from 1 species
UGCAGUCGAACGGUAGCACAGAGAGCUUGCUCUCGGGUGACGAGUGGCGGACGGGUGAGUAAUGUCUGGGAAACUGCCUGAUGGAGGGGGAUAACUACUGGAAACGGUAGCUAAUACCGCAUAACGUCGCAAGACCAAAGAGGGGGACCUUCGGGCCUCUUGCCAUCAGAUGUGCCCAGAUGGGAUUAGCUAGUAGGUGGGGUAACGGCUCACCUAGGCGACGAUCCCUAGCUGGUCUGAGAGGAUGACCAGCCACACUGGAACUGAGACACGGUCCAGACUCCUACGGGAGGCAGCAGUGGGGAAUAUUGCACAAUGGGCGCAAGCCUGAUGCAGCCAUGCCGCGUGUAUGAAGAAGGCCUUCGGGUUGUAAAGUACUUUCAGCGGGGAGGAAGGUGUUGUGGUUAAUAACCACAGCAAUUGACGUUACCCGCAGAAGAAGCACCGGCUAACUCCGUGCCAGCAGCCGCGGUAAUACGGAGGGUGCAAGCGUUAAUCGGAAUUACUGGGCGUAAAGCGCACGCAGGCGGUCUGUCAAGUCGGAUGUGAAAUCCCCGGGCUCAACCUGGGAACUGCAUUCGAAACUGGCAGGCUAGAGUCUUGUAGAGGGGGGUAGAAUUCCAGGUGUAGCGGUGAAAUGCGUAGAGAUCUGGAGGAAUACCGGUGGCGAAGGC